AUACAAGUCUGUCGGAAUACAGCGUUCAUAGUGGUGAGAACCCCGUAACUGAGUACGGAUGCCCGGUGCUUUGUGAUACACUUUCGAAGAGUCGAGUUUGUUGGGGAAUGCAGCUCAAAUUGGGUGGUAAAUUCCAUCUAAAGCUAAAUAUUGGCGAGAGACCGAUAGCGAACAAGUACCGGGAGGGAAAGAUGAAAAGCACUUUGGAAAGAGAGUUAACAGUACGUGAAAUUGUUGGAAGGGAAACGAUUGAAGUCAGACUUGUUAUCGGGAGUUCAGCCAUUCGGUGUACUCUCCAGUUUACAGGCCAGCAUCAGUGUUCGGGGCGGGAAAAUCGUAAUUAGAAGGUAGCAGCCUACCUCCCUUAAUAACUUUAUAUAGCUGGCAUUCUCCGCCUUUUUUGU
rnacentral:rRNA from 1 species